rnacentral:rRNA from 1 species
CAGCAGCCGCCGCGGGAAUACGAAGGGUGCAAGCGUUACUCGGAACUACUGGGCGUAAAGCGUGCGUAGGUGGUGGUUUAAGUCCGUUGUGAAAGCCCUGGGCUCAACCUGGGAAUUGCAGUGGAUACUGGAUCACUAGAGUGUGGUAGAGGAUAGUGGAAUUUCCGGUGUAGCAGUGAAAUGCGUAGAGAUCGGAAGGAACAUCUGUGGCGAAGGCGACUAUCUGGGCCAACACUGACACUGAGGCACGAAAGCGUGGGGAGCAAACAGGAUUAGAUACCCCGGUAGUCCCUGUCUCUUAUAC